AGAAGAAGAAAAAGAAGAAGAAGAAAAAGAAGAAGAAGAAGAAGAAGAAGAUAUAUGUUAUGCAUGUCAAAGAGUAAUUUUACCACGAGAUAAUUAUUUUAAACCCUUGUACAGACUCACCUACAAAAAGUUAAAAAAACCACCUUUAAAAUUAGCAAAAAUCGAUAUAAAGAAAUUGUCGAAAAAAUAUAGUGUUCCUACACCCUUCUAAAGAUUUUUUCAUUUAAUUUAAUGAUCUUCAAAGAGAAAAAAGCUUGCGGAAAAAACUUUAAAAUUAGCAAAAAUCGAUAUAAAGACGUUUCCGAAAAAAUAUAGUGUUCCUACACCCUUUUAAAGAUUUUGUCAUUUAAUUUAAUGAUAUUCAAAGAAAAAAAGCCUGCGGAAAAAAAUAAAGGCACUCAAAUAAAAAAAAAUUUACGAGCUGAAACUGUCACCACCCUACCAUACAUAUACAGAAGAAAUUGUUAAGCUCUUCAAAAAGACGUCAAAACUUAUCGUAAAAAUUAUCAUGGGCAGUAUCAAGGAACAAAUUGAUAGAUUGCUUAAAAUAAAAUUGAAAUGAUAUACUAAAUUGUGAAUUAAAAGAGGUCUUGUGUUAGGGUAAAAUAAUACAUUUUACCGAUUCUACAUAAAAUGAGGACCGAAGUAAUAUUAAUUUGAGGCCAUAAAAGUGUCAACUAUAAAAUUAUAGAUCGUAAUUUUUGUAAUUCCUCAUACUUAUAGAUAGAAUUUCCAGUAUUCUGAUUUAUGAGUUCUAAAAAUUAUUAGCAAUUCAAUAUUCUGAAAUUCAGAUAUCUUUAUUACAUGUCUAUAAAAGAUGCAAUUUUUUAAAAGUGAUAUUACUUUUGAGCCAUAAAAUUUAUAUAUACAUACAUUUGACCGAUUAAUUUUCCUAACACGUCUAGCGCAUAAUAUGGAGAAUAAAGAGUAUAACCCAUAUUAAAUAAACAUAUCAGAAAAAACUAUUUUAUUCCGAUUAUGGUUGUUUGUAUAGUGUUUUUGUAAUAAAACCAAGUGGUUUUUUCCGAGGAUUUCACAUUAUUCGUCAAAUUAGAUUUGUUUUUAAUGUUUGAGUUAAAGGUCUGAUUAGAAUGUUGAUUUUACAAAAACGUACUCCUUUUAUUUGUUACGAUAUUUGGAUGUUAUUAUGUUCCCUGUAGUAAAUCAAUCCUCCAUUGAAGGAUGUCUUUUCUUACAAACAAAUUCUCCUGCAGCUGAUCCAGAAAGUUUUAGUAAUAUUCUCCUGAUGUUGCUCUAUUAUAUUUAAAACUAAUUAAUUAACAAAAUUCGAUUUGCAUUCCAAAAAACUGAUGUGGUCGCAUGCGAUGAGGAUGAAAGAACCCUGACAGAAACAGCACCUACUGGAAAUACAACAACUUCCUCAAUAAUUACAA
rnacentral:lncRNA from 1 species